UACGAAGGGGGCGAGCGUUGUUCGGAAUUACUGGGCGUAAAGGGCGCGCAGGCGGCUCGACAAGUCAGAUGUGAAAGCCCCGGGCUUAACUCGGGAAGUGCUUUUGAUACUGCAGAGCUUGAAUGUGGGAGAGGGUAGUGGAAUUCCAGGUGUAGCGGUGAAAUGCGUAGAUAUCUGGAGGAACACCGGUGGCGAAGGCGGCAUCCUGGACCGGUAUUGACGCUGAGGCGCGAAAGCCAGGGGAGCAAACGGG
rnacentral:rRNA from 1 species